ACUUUUAAAGGAUGGUAGUUAUCCGUUGGUCUUAGGAACCAAAAAAUUGGUGCA
rnacentral:tRNA from 1 species